GGUUUCUUGUUAAUAAUAAGAAAUUUAACCUGCCCACUGAUAAUUUAAAGGGCCGCAGUAUUUUGACUGUGCAAAGGUAGCAUAAUAAUUAGUCUUUUAAUUGAAGGCUUGAAUGAAUGGUUGGAUGAGGCAAAAGCUAUUUUAUAUUAAUAUGUUGAACUUAGAUUUUAAGUAAAAAGACUUAAAUUUAAUUAAGGGACGAGAAGACCCUAUAGAGUUUAAUAAACAUAUUUUUAAUUAAGUUAAGUAGAAUUUUUUGAUUAAGAUAUAUUGAAUUAUUUAAUUGGGGUGAUUAGAAAAUAAUAAAAACUUUUCUUUAAUAUAAAUAUUUUAAGUAAAUAAAAGAUCCAAAAAUAAUGAUUAAAAGAUUAAAUUACCUUAGGGAUAACAGCAUAAUACUUUUUAAAAGUUCAGAUUGAAAGAAGUGAUUGUGACCUCGAUGUUGGAUUAAGAUAAAUUUUGGGUGUAGAUGUUCAAAAAUUAGGUCUGUUCGACCUUUAAAAUCUUACA
rnacentral:rRNA from 1 species